UGCCUGCAAAUAGUGAAAGCCUGAAA
rnacentral:piRNA from 1 species